rnacentral:rRNA from 1 species
AUUGAACGCUGGCGGCAGGCCUAACACAUGCAAGUCGAGCGGAUGAAGGGAGCUUGCUCCUGGAUUCAGCGGCGGACGGGUGAGUAAUGCCUAGGAAUCUGCCUGGUAGUGGGGGAUAACGUCCGGAAACGGGCGCUAAUACCGCAUACGUCCUGAGGGAGAAAGUGGGGGAUCUUCGGACCUCACGCUAUCAGAUGAGCCUAGGUCGGAUUAGCUAGUUGGUGGGGUAAAGGCCUACCAAGGCGACGAUCCGUAACUGGUCUGAGAGGAUGAUCAGUCACACUGGAACUGAGACACGGUCCAGACUCCUACGGGAGGCAGCAGUAGGGAAUAUUGGACAAUGGGCGAAAGCCUGAUCCAGCCAUGCCGCGUGUGUGAAGAAGGUCUUCGGAUUGUAAAGCACUUUAAGUUGGGAGGAAGGGCAGUAAGUUAAUACCUUGCUGUGUUGACGUUACCAACAGAAUAAGCACCGGCUAACUUCGUG